UCAUCAUUACUUUCAUAAGUCUAGAUCCACACACUCUGGAUCGAUUUUCUUAGCCAAGGGAAGUUUUAAACAAAUCUGAGAUACCAAUUUUUGAUAGGCAAAAAGAGAUUGGAAAUCGAUAUAUUGGAGGCUUCUUUCAAAUCGCACCCCUCCCCAUUCAUUCCCUACGUAUCUAUUGGACUGCAAAGGUACUUUAGGAGAUUGAUCUUCGUGAGAAAGGAUAAGGAGAUUAAGCCAGUCAAAUUGGAGGAGGCGCGCCUCUCUCCACCACUCCUCAUCACGUUAUUGCUGAGUCUUCCUCCUGUCAACUCCAGGUGAGCAGAUUGCACUCUCCCUCCUCUCUCCAUUUCCACCUUUGCAAUUCUAUCGACCUACAUAGGCGACUUGGGGAGAUCAAAUUUGCCUGCAAGGAGAGCCGCCUCUCCUCUCCUCUCCUCUCCUCACCAUCGACUUUGUAGAGUUUAUUUCUGGAUGGGAGCUCGACAAGAACACCAAAAACAAAAGCUUCAUUUGGUUGGACGGAUAAAAUGCCUGGGUCAUUUUUAUGACAUUGUAAAGUCUUAUGGACUAAUGUAUAUUGUAUGGUAUCAUUAUUGUAAAUGACCAGUUAUGGUCUCAUGAGUAAGUUAUAUGAGUUACAUGUAUAUGACCUAUAAGGUCUAUUGAUGUAAAUAUGAUAGGAAGUCGCUAUGUAAAAUGUAACUAACAAAAAAAGUAAGGAAAAUAACAAUUUUCUAUCA